rnacentral:rRNA from 1 species
GUGGGGAAUCUUCCGCAAUGGACGAAAGUCUGACGGAGCAACGCCGCGUGAGUGAUGAAGGUCUUCGGAUUGUAAAGCUCUGUUAAUCGGGACGAAAAAGCCUAGUGUGAAUAAUGCUAGGAAGUGACGGUACCGGAAUAGAAAGCCACGGCUAACUACGUGCCAGCAGCCGCGGUAAUACGUAGGUGGCAAGCGUUGUCCGGAAUUAUUGGGCGUAAAGCGCGCGCAGGCGGAUCUGCCAGUCUGUCUUAAAAGUUCGGGGCUUAACCCCGUGAUGGGAUGGAAACUACAGAUCUAGAGUAUCGGAGAGGAAAGUGGAAUUCCUAGUGUAGCGGUGAAAUGCGUAGAUAUUAGGAAGAACACCAGUGGCGAAGGCGACUUUCUGGACGAAAACUGACGCUGAGGCGCGAAAGCCAGGGGAGCGAACGGGAUUAGAAACCCUUGUAGUCC